GCCGCAAACACAGGAUUAGUUGACCCCCUGUCCAACCUGGGCCGCGGCCGGGUCUUUAUCUUUUCUGGAACAAGAGACAGUGUCCUCCUACAAGGGGUGGCCCAGAAGCUGCAGGAGUUCUAUACCAGCUAUAUCAGCUCUGCAUCUAUCAAAACUGUAUACACUGUGGCUGCUGAGCAUGGGAUGCCCACUGACAGCUACGGCGGAGCAUGCGGAACAACUAACAAUGAUUAUAUCAAUAACUGCAACUACAAUGGUGCUUAUGAAGCUCUGAAUCACCUCUAUGGAGGGCUGCAGAAACCCAGCAGCAGUGCCGGACAGUCU